rnacentral:rRNA from 1 species
AUGGAGCCGCGUAUCUUCAAAUCUUUGGCUAAUUAUCUUCGAAGGGAGAAGUUGGUGAAAGAUACCAGAAUUAAAGUCGAAGAGAAACUAGCAUCAUUUCUGUGGAUGUUAUCCCAUAAUUCUUCAUUUGAAGACCUUCAAGUUCGGUUUGGUCACAGCGGGGAUACUUUCCAUUCGCAAAUGAAGAAUUUCUUUGACAUCAUCCCUAUUCUCUCCAAGCAUUUUUUGAAGCCUCCAAAUCCCAGUCAAGUGCAUCCGAAGAUUCAGUCGGACACGAGAUUCUUUCCUUAUUUUCAGGUUUUUGCUUCGCCAACUUUGAUCCACAUCGAUAACUUACUCUUCAUGUUAUAG